rnacentral:lncRNA from 1 species
CCUCGUCCGGUAUGGGAGACCACAAUCCCGGUAGGGUUCCCUACGGACCCGGUCCAUCCACCAUCUCCCAGGAUAUCUAGUCAGGCUGACCACAUUAUACCAUUAUCCAUUUACAUAAUUGUUCAUUCUCUUUUUCCUCAGUCAGCAUCAUUAAGCAAGCAAAACGAUAAUUUAUGCUAAGCAGACAACAUACAGCAUCAAUAUCCCGGUCAUUUAAUCCAUAAUCAAUAAAACAGUAAAACAUGCACACGAAACUAUAAAAUGAAAACAUCGAACCUCAUGCUACGUUUAAAACAGUAAAACAGGCCAAAUAACAAUUAACCGACAAACACACUAGACUCGGGCUCCAUUAGCGACCUUAAGAAAUUUCACACAUUCGUUGAUUCAUGAAAUACCGUUUUAUCAUUUAUUGAACUUUAAAACCGUGAUAGGAAAUAAGGUGAGGGGUCCUUACUCGUUUCGGGGUCCGAACACGGCUUCACAGUGCGCUUGCAGGCUGUCCCUAAUUUUCCCUGAAUUU